CCCAGAGAAAUUUGGAUUAAUACCUUAUAAUAAUAUUCAUUCGCAUGUCUGAAUAUUUAAAGCUUUUGCGGAAGAAGAUGGGCAUGCGUGACAUUAGUUUGUUGGUGAGGUAACGGCUCACCAAGACUACGAUGUCUAGGGGUUCUGAGAGGAUGAUCCCCCACACUGGUACUGAGACACGGACCAGACUCCUACGGGAGGCAGCAGUGAGGAAUAUUGGUCAAUGGACGAAAGUCUGAACCAGCCAUGCCGCGUGAAGGAUGACGGCCCUACGGGUUGUAAACUUCUUUUGUAUAGGAAGAAACCCCCCUACGUGUAGGGGGCUG
rnacentral:rRNA from 1 species